AUGCGUCACCUUGCUGCAAAUUUCAUGAAGAAAUUCAAAGGAAAGGUGUAUGCCAACAAUUUAUGGCUAGCAUCUCUAACUUGCAGUGUGAAGAAGCACAACUACCACUUGAGGCAGUUAUACAUGAAUCCCAAAGUGAAAGAAUACUUGGAAACACGCCACUCCAAGUUAUGGGCUAGAAGCCAAUUCAGUGAAGUGAGCAAAGUUGACUAUGUGCACAAUAAUCUAGCAGAGUCUUUCAACUCAACGAUUUGA
rnacentral:rRNA from 1 species